AACGCGAAGAACCUUACCUGGUCUUGACAUGUCCGGAAUCGAGCAGAGAUGCUUGAGUGCCUUCGGGAAUCGGAACACAGGUGCUGCAUGGCUGUCGUCAGCUCGUGUCGUGAGAUGUUGGGUUAAGUCCCGCAACGAGCGCAACCCUUGUCCUUAGCUGCCGGCACGUAAUGGUGGGAACUCUAGGGAGACUGCCGGUGACAAACCGGAGGAAGGUGGGGAUGACGUCAAGCCAUCAUGGCCCUUACGGCCAGGGCUACACACAUGCUACAAUGGCCGGUACAGAGGGCUGCGAUACCGUGAGGUGGAGCGAAUCCCUUAAAGCCGGUCUCAGUUCGGAUUGGGGUCUGCAACUCGACCCCAUGAAGUCGGAGUCGCUAGUAAUCGCAGAUCAGCAACGCUGCGGUGAAUACGUUCCCGGGUCUUGUACACACCG
rnacentral:rRNA from 1 species